rnacentral:lncRNA from 1 species
CAGAAACCCAGCAGGGAUCCUGUUCUCUGCAGCAAAUCCAGUGCCGCCUUGCCUCGUGCACCCAGAAGAGAGAGUGCUUGGAGCAGAUGAACAGCAGCCACUCAAACUCAGACCAGCAUCGGGACAGAUGAAUCACCAUACAUGUUGAUAGUAACAGUAGGUGACAGGUGAACAAAUCACAGGUCUUGAGUUUCUCUACCCUGCCUCUCUCUGGUAACGUCAUCUCCAGUACCAUCUGCUACCUACCAGCUAAACAGACCAACCACAUAAUGAGGUACCAGCUUCCACCCAGCUACCGUGACUAAAUCAGAACAAAAGAAUUCAACGCCUCCUUCAACAAAGGGACACAAGUCUAAGCUGUCUUUGCUAAUUGCUGGGUUUCAGGUUGUCUGUUACAGAUUUUAAGUGAGCUGCAAACUUGCAUCCAUACUUUAUAGCUGUUGGAUAAAGAUAAUGCGAAUAAAAGAUAAAUGGAAACCAAAGGCAAUGAUGCUGUUCUCCUAAAAUGUGAGACAGUUUUCUUCUUGACAGCAAGUGGAGCCCAGCUCUGCAUCUCCCUCAGUCACUGGAGAAAGACUAACAUGCUUCAGAUUCAGUUGCUUUCCAGACGGACUUGAAACGAUUCAAUGAAAUGAUUACUCCAUUCAUCUAUCCCAUUUUAUACUUAUUGUGUAACAAGUGAGACACUGUGGGUCAUUUUAAAGUAAAAGAGAAUAGUGGUAUAAUCCUAUUAAAGACAUCAGACUAUUUAAAAUAGGACAGAUAUUAACAUCACCCUAAACUGUAAAUGAAUGUAUUUGUAAAGGUGUUUUAACUUUCCAGAGUGAAGUACAUUUUAUGUUGCUGUUUCUUUGCUACACCAUCACUAUAUUUAUCCAGCUAGUGCAGCCGGGUGUAUGAGUCAUAGGAAAUUAUAUUUCUUGCUUAUUAAAGUGGUUUGUCUCAGGAAUAUUUCAUAGUGUAUAUUUUUUUCACUCACAUAAAGAUGUUGAGAGAAUAACUGGCAACCUAUUUAAAUGUCCUUUGCUUAAGAGAUGUCUAUUAUAUUUGCUGCGGAUUUUUUAAAUUUUUAUUGCCUUUCUAAACUGUUAAUUAUGUAUCGAAAUGUAUUGCUGUCACCAGUCUAACAUGAACAAAGCAAUAGAGUGAACUGCCUGAGAUAUUUCAGCAUGGUAUUAAUUACAAGCAUAGUAAUAAAUGAAAAUUCUACAAACCUCUCCA